UACGUAGGGGGCAAGCGUUGUCCGGAAUCAUUGGGCGUAAAGCGCGCGUAGGCGGCCCGAUAAGUCCGCUGUGAAAGUCCAGGGCUCAACCCUGGAAGGCCGGUGGAAACUGUCGGGCUAGAGUCCGGAAGAGGCGAGUGGAAUUCCCGGUGUAGCGGUGAAAUGCGCAGAUAUCGGGAGGAACACCAAUGGCGAAGGCAGCUCGCUGGGACGGUACUGACGCUGAGACGCGAAAGCGUGGGGAGCAAACAGGG
rnacentral:rRNA from 1 species